ensembl:snRNA U4 U4 spliceosomal RNA
AGCUUUGCAAAGUGGCAAUUGUUGUAGCCAAUGAGGUUUAUCUGAGGCACAAUUACUGCUAAAUGAAACUUUUCCCAGUACCCCUCUGUGACGACUUGCAAUAUAGUUGGCAUUGGCAGUUUUUGACAGUCUCCACAGAGA